GUAGGGCGCAAGCGUUGUCCGGAAUUAUUGGGCGUAAAGAGCUCGUAGGCGGUCUGUCGCGUCGGAUGUGAAAGCCCGGGGCUUAACCCCGGGUCUGCAUUCGAUACGGGCAGACUAGAGUGUGGUAGGGGAGAUCGGAAUUCCUGGUGUAGCGGUGAAAUGCGCAGAUAUCAGGAGGAACACCGGUGGCGAAGGCGGAUCUCUGGGCCAUUACUGACGCUGAGGAGCGAAAGCGUGGGGAGCGAACAGGAUUAGAUACCCUGGUAGUCCACGCCGUAAACGGUGGGAACUAGGUGUUGGCGACAUUCCACGUCGUCGGUGCCGCAGCUAACGCAUUAAGUUCCCCGCCUGGGGAGUACGGCCGCAAGGCUA
rnacentral:rRNA from 1 species